CGCGUAGGUGGCCUUCUAAGUUGAACGUGAAAUCCCUGGGCUCAACCCAGGAACUGCGUCCAAGACUGGGAGGCUUGAAUCCGGGAGAGGGAUGCGGAAUUCCAGGUGUAGCGGUGAAAUGCGUAGAUAUCUGGAGGAACACCGGUGGCGAAGGCGGCAUCCUGGACCGGUAUUGACACUGAGGCGCGAAAGCCAGGGGAGCAAACGG
rnacentral:rRNA from 1 species